AACGAACGCUGGCGGCAUGCCUAACACAUGCAAGUCGAACGAGACCUUCGGGUCUAGUGGCGCACGGGUGCGUAACGCGUGGGAACCUGCCUUUAGGUUCGGAAUAACUCAGAGAAAUUUGAGCUAAUACCGGAUAAUGUCUUCGGACCAAAGAUUUAUCGCCUUUAGAUGGGCCCGCGUAAGAUUAGCUAGUUGGUGGGGUAAAGGCCUACCAAGGCGACGAUCUUUAGCUGGUCUGAGAGGAUGAUCAGCCACACUGGGACUGAGACACGGCCCAGACUCCUACCGGGAGGCAGCAGUGGGGAAUAUUGGACAAUGGGCGAAAGCCUGAUCCAGCAAUGCCGCGUGAGUGAUGAAGGCCUUAGGGUUGUAAAGCUCUUUUACCCGAGAUGAUAAUGACAGUAUCGGGAGAAUAAGCUCCGGCUAACUCCGUGCCAGCAGCCGCGGUAA
rnacentral:rRNA from 1 species